GGCUCUGUGGUGUAUAACAUAUUAGAUUGCAAAUCUAAGGAUGCAGGCGAAAGCCUGCCAGAUCUU
rnacentral:tRNA from 1 species